AGUCUCGUAGUGUUAAAUUACAUGCUGAAUUGCAAAUUCAGAGAAGCAGCUUCAAUCCUGCCAGGACUU
rnacentral:tRNA from 1 species